UACAGAGGGUGCGAGCGUUAAUCGGAAUCAUUGGGCGUAAAGCGCGCGUAGGCGGUUAUUUAAGUUGGAUGUGAAAGCCCUCGGCUUAACUGAGGAAGUGCAUCCAAAACUGAAUAGCUAGAGUACGAAAGAGGGUCGCGGAAUUCCCGGUGUAGAGGUGAAAUUCGUAGAUAUCGGGAGGAACACCGGUGGCGAAGGCGGCGACCUGGGUCGAGACUGACGCUGAGGCGCGAAAGCGUGGGGAGCAAACAGG
rnacentral:rRNA from 1 species